rnacentral:rRNA from 1 species
GGGUAGUUUGACUGGGGCGGUCUCCUCCUAAAGAGUAACGGAGGAGCACGAAGGUUGGCUAAUCCUGGUCGGACAUCAGGAGGUUAGUGCAAUGGCAUAAGCCAGCUUGACUGCGAGCGUGACGGCGCGAGCAGGUGCGAAAGCAGGUCAUAGUGAUCCGGUGGUUCUGAAUGGAAGGGCCAUCGCUCAACGGAUAAAAGGUACUCCGGGGAUAACAGGCUGAUACCGCCCAAGAGUUCAUAUCGACGGCGGUGUUUGGCACCUCGAUGUCGGCUCAUCACAUCCUGGGGCUGAAGUAGGUCCCAAGGGUAUGGCUGUUCGCCAUUUAAAGUGGUACGCGAGCUGGGUUUAGAACGUCGUGAGACAGUUCGGUCCCUAUCUGCCGUGGGCGCUGGAGAACUG